GAUGAACGCUGGCGGCGUGCCUAAUACAUGCAAGUCGAGCGAACAGACGAGGAGCUUGCUCCUCUGACGUUAGCGGCGGACGGGUGAGUAACACGUGGAUAACCUACCUAUAAGACUGGGAUAACUUCGGGAAACCGGAGCUAAUACCGGAUAAUAUAUUUAACCGCAUGGUUCAAUAUUGAAAGACGGUUUUGCUGUCCCUUAUAGUUGGAUCCGCGCCGCAUUAGCUAGUUGGUAAGGUAACGGCUUACCAAGGCAACGAUGCGUAGCCGACCUGAGAGGGUGAUCGGCCACACUGGGACUGAGACACGGUCCAGACUCCUACGGGAGGCAGCAGUAGGGAAUCUUCCGCAAUGGGCGAAAGCCUGACGGAGCAACGCAGCGUGAGUGAUGAAGGUCUUCGGAUCGUAAAACUCUGUUAUUAGGGAAGAACAAAUGUGUAAGUAACUAUGCACGUCUUGACGGUACCUAAUCAGAAAGCCACGGCUAACUACGUG
rnacentral:rRNA from 1 species